AAGUCGUAACAAGGUUUCCGUAGGUGAACCUGCGGAAGGAUCAUUAGAGAAUUUCUGGUCGGUCGCAAGGCCUUCCUAAAUACUUUAUUCCAUAAACACCUGUGCACCUUUUUUUGUGAUGUUGUUAGCUACUAGUUUAACUUUUUGUUAGACGAACGCAACUUCGUCUACACACACUACAAACAUAAAUAGUCUUUGAAUGUAAUACAAAUUGUAACAAAAAUACAACUUUCAACAACGGAUCUCUUGGCUCUCGCAUCGAUGAAGAACGCAGCGAAAUGCGAUAAGUAAUGUGAAUUGCAGAAUUCAGUGAAUCAUCGAAUCUUUGAACGCAAAUUGCGCCCUUUGGUAUUCCGAAGGGCAUGCCUGUUUGAGUGUCAUAUAGACUUCACCCAAUCAUUUACUAAGUAAGUGGUUGUUAACGGUGCUUUGGACGUUUGCCAUUAACCUUGGCUCGUCUUAAAUGUCUAAGUGAAUAUUAGCGUGAUAAGUUCUUCGCUAUCUCUGUUCACUAUAAUACCAUUAAGCUCUGACCUCAAAUCAGGUAGGACUACCCGCUGAACUUAA
rnacentral:rRNA from 1 species